rnacentral:rRNA from 1 species
AUGAAGAGUUUGAUCCUGGCUCAGAGCGAACGCUGGCGGCAUGGCUAAGGCAUGCAAGUCGUACGGGGCGCCGUAGCAAUAUGGCGUUCAGUGGCGAAAGGGAGCGUAAUGCAUGGGUAACGUACCCUGGACACCGGGAUAACAGCGGGGGCAACCCCUUUGCGAAAGUGCUGCUAAUACCGGAUGAUGUCCCCGGGCCGCAUGGCUUGGGGAUCAAAGGUGGGGACCCGCAAGGGCCUAUCGGUCCGGGCGCGGCCCAUGUCCUAUCAGCUAGUUGGCGGGGUAACGGCCCACCAAGGCUGCGACGGGUAGCGGGCGUGAGAGCGUGGCCCGCCUCAUCGGGACUGAGACACUGCCCGGACACCUACGGGUGGCUGCAGCAACGAGUCUUGGGCAAUGGGCGCAAGCCUGACCCAGCAAUGCCGCGUGCAGGAGGAAGCCCUUCGGGGUGUAAACUGCUGUCAGGGUCUCGCAAGCAAACGGGGUGAAUAAUCCCGGGCGUUGAGCAGAUCCAAAGGAAGCCUCGGCUAACUCUGUGCCAGCAGCCGCGGUAAGACAGAGGAGGCAAGCGUUGCUCGGAAUCAUUGGGCUUAAAGCGGGUGUAGGCGGCCCGGUAAGUGUCGAGUGAAAUCCCACGGCUCAACCGUGGAACGGCUCGGCAAACUGCCGGGCUUGAGGCCGGUAGAGGUGGCUGGAACUCUCGGUGGAGCGGUGAAAUGCGUAGAUAUCGAGAGGAACGCCAGAGGCGAAAGCGGGCCACUGGGCCGGUUCUGACGCUGAGACCCGAAAGCGUGGGGAGCAAACAGGAUUAGAUACCCUGGUAGUCCACGCCGUAAACGAUGCACACUGGGUGACGGGAUCUCUGACGAUGCCGCCGCCGAAGCUAAAGUGCUAAGUGUGCCGCCUGGGGAGUACGGCCGCAAGGCUAAAACUCAAAGGAAUUGACGGGGGCUCACACAAGCGGUGGAGCAUGUGGCUCAAUUCGAAGCAACGCGAAGAACCUUACCUGGGUUUGACAUGCACGGAUGCCUCCCGGGGAUAACUCGGGUUGGCUGCCCUUCGGGGUGAAACGUGCACAGGUGUUGCACGGCUGUCGUCAGCUCGUGCUGUGAAGUGUCGGGUUAAGUCCUUCAACGAGCGAAACCCCUGUCGCUAGUUGCCAGCGGGUCAUGCCGGGGACUCUAGCGAGACUGCCGGCGUAAGCCGGAGGAAGGCGGGGACGACGUCAAGUCAUCGUGGCCCUUAUGCCCAGGGACGCACACGUGCUACAAUGGCCGGGACAGAGGGACGCAAGGCCGCGAGGCGGAGCAAAUCCCAAAAAACCGGCCCCAGUUCAGAUUGGAGGCUGCAAUUCGCCUCCAUGAAGUUGGAAUCGCUAGUAAUCGCGCAUCAGCUACGGCGCGGUGAAUGUGUUCCUGAGCCUUGUACACACCGCCCGUCAAGUCAUGGGAGCCGGGAGUACCCGAAGUCCGCUCAGCCAACCGCAAGGAGGCGGCGGCCGACGGUAAGCCUGGUGACUGGGACUAAGUCGUAACAAGGUAGCCGUAGGGGAACCUGCGGCUGGAUCACCUCCUUUCUAGGG